GAGAGACUUUACAGCGUGCAGCCGUGCACGCUGUGAUUCUCCUUCACAGACACAGCAAGCAGCUGCAUGUUCCUUCCUCCUCCCUCCUCCCAUCUCCUAAGAUUAGUCAGGAAGUCAAAGUCCCUCUGAUUGGCCAGCAGACGGGGUGGGAGGAGUCUGAGGGUUCCGUGCUGUUUCAGGAAGCUCCUAGGAGAGGUACACCAACAAUCCUUUCCUCCCCCAGUAUUGGUUGAGGGUCAACCUGAAUUCAUUAUCCAAGAGCUCCUCGAUUCUCGCUUAGUGCGGGGCUGGAGGUGCAGCUUUCUGUAGCCUGGAAGAAUUUAUUCAGAUUUGAAUAUGAAAGUAUGAUGUUUUUGUUUUUUGUUGGGUGAUGAAAACAGGAGAAGUUUGCUCAUUUGGGAUGGUGGUGGGGGAAGGAAGGCCAUAUGGACAAUUCAAGACUUUGCAAACUGGCCUUUUGGUGUGUUUGAUAGAAAAGUUGCCAGUGGACAGAGGGAUGGACUCUGCGGGCUGGAGGGUGUAUGGGUGGGUUUGUGGGAUUUUUGGUUAUUUUUGUUUUGUUGUAUGAUUUGCAAACUGUUUAUGAAUUGAUUGAAUUGAAUUGAUUAAUGUAAAGUGAUCUUUUAAAUAAAAAAUUCCUAUUAUGUUCUUUUCCAUCCUGACUCCUCCUCUCAAGUAAGUGGAUCCACUGGACUGCCUUCUACUCCCAGGAUCCUGCUUGUAAAAAGGCUCUUAUGUUGCCAUUGCAGUGUAUUCCCUUUGUUCCACACAGGCCUUUGAAUUACUCUGUAUGUGAAUUGCCUUGGGUAACACUGACUUUUAUAAUUGUAAUUGUGCACACUGAAGGGAGAAAUUUCUUUUCAUUAACAUUAACAUUAACAUGUAUUUAUAGGGCACCAACAUAUUUUGCAGCCAGUUUUUUUUUGAAGAGGUCCU